UUGGGUAACGGACAUGGAGUCCGGAGCGGAAGGGGUGUUGCACCGGGACGACUGCUGCUGCUGCUGCUGCUGCGAUUGCUGCUGCUGAUGGUGUUGCUGUUGCUGCUGCUGAUGCUGCUGUUGCUGUUGCUGCUGCUGCUGCUGCUGUUGCUGCUGCUGCU